GCCUAAACUCUAAUUCAUAGUUGAUAUGAAAAUCAAAGAAAUUAAAUUAAUUCUUACAAUUAAACAAUCAGUUAAAACUUAUAAAAUUUCAAAAGUAUCAGAACUUUCCGAACAACCUAAUAAAACUCAAAACAUUUCAUUGAUCUGUGUUCGUAAGUAACCAAACAAUUUAUUGUAUUAAGUGAAUAAUUACUAUCAAGCAAGUAUAUCUUUUACACACUUUUAUAACUAUAAAAUUAUUGAUCAGAAAAUGAGUGCGGACGAAAUUUUGAUUUGUUGGAUAAAAAUUUAAAGGGAUUGACUCUACGUAUAACUCAGAUUGUCAGAGACACACUUUUGUUGGGACCUUAUCGUAUGAUAUUGUGCGAACCUAGUGAAAAAAAGGCGUCUGUUACACGUUGGCAAAGGAUUGAAAGUGUAAAUUAUCCUUGCGGUACUUUGUAUUUGGAUCAGAAUUUCCAAGGUACCAGCUGGACUAGGUAUAUUAAAGUACGUGAUAGUAACAACCGUCCUCUUUUGGAACGAACACGGCCUGGACAAAAUCAUAACCUUAUAAGCCUGACUUUAAGCAUACAACAAAGUGAAUCUUUAGAAAAAGCAAACGUUUCAAUGUUGACAAAAAGUAUUCACAACAGAUUUAAUGAAUCAAUCACUAAAUAUAAUGAAUCGAAAGUUGAUAAAGAACAUGGAACAACUCAAGUAAGUGUUUUUUCCUUACCGUUCAAUUAAUCUUGGAUCCAUAUAUGGUAUGAGCAUCAGUUUUAUUCAAUUGCUAAUUCUACCAACAUUGCUAACCUAAUUGAAUAACCUGCGCAGCUAAGUUUUUAAAGAAAUUCGAUAUUCAGGAAUCUUACAUCUGACCGUUGAUAUCGAGCAUGAAUUUUGAAAUUUGCUUUAAGAAGUUUGGUAAUUAUUCAACUAAAAUAUUUAAACUUUAUUUUAAAUGGUUUAUGAGUUACAUAAAUUGUGUUGAUGGUUCUGUAGCUCAAAAUGAUUAACUAAUUAAUAGCAUUACAAAAGAUUAAAAAAUUUGCAGACUCUAGUCUUAGAUGAUCUAGGAAAGCCUGACAAUGUAAGCUGAUUCAAUCUGAUCAUAGCUUUAACUAUAGCUGGAGAGAGCUUUUAAUCUGUAGCUAAAUUCAGCUACAGCUAGCUUUAUUCAAUGCCACUAAAGUAUCAUUUCAAUAAAAAACUUGUCUUGAUUAGUCGUCCGCAAAUUUGGCACCAUGGAUUAGUAACUAUCAGAUUUCGGUGAAUUUGCUAUAGAUAAAUUCAAUAAGUCGAAUAAUUUAAUGGAAGCUUAUUAGCGGUUCAAAUCACUAUAUUAAAAUUCAAUCAAUAUUUAUUUUAGUGAAGUAACUUUUAGAUAAAAAUUGACUCUUCGAUAGUACCAAAAGUUAUUUCAUUUAUGUUCAAAACUAUUGUGAAUUUAAUUUCGUAUUCAGCAUGAAGGGUAGAAAUCUUAGCUUAGUUUAAUCAUUCAAUGAUUUCGAUUUUCAAUUUGAUUCUCUUUAUUCAUAUCUUUCAUUAGAUUUUAUUUCAUUUAAAAUUCAUUUAAAUUCACUUAAAUUGCUCAAACAAUAUUUACUCAUUUCUUGAAAACUUCCUCAAUUGUCAAAACCUGAAAAAAGGUUAUCUUCCAACUCGCAAAUCCGUUCCUAAAUCACCUUUAUUCCUUGUAAAAUUUGACCACAAUCUUGGUUAAAUUCAGGUUAACUUAAAGUUGAAUUUUAAGUGACAAAAAGUAAGAGAUUAAAAAAUCCCUUUCUUUUUCUGGUUAAUUUUCAACUGUUCCUCAACUCAACUUUUAAUCCUCAAAGCAUUGUCAAAGCUAAAGUUAUCUCUCAAGAGAUAUAUGUCUCAACAUCACUAAUGGGUAAAAAGGCUACUAGCCUUAACAAUACUAAAUUAAGAUAAGACAUCUUACAAAACCAGUAAUGAACCCUUAACCAGACAAUAGUCGAAAGACAUUCAAUUUUACUUUCUUCAAUCAUUCCCUCCAAAAUUAUCCUUUGUUUUACAGACGUUAUAAAAACCCAAUUUUUCAUUCUUUAACUUCACUUCAAUUCUAUUGUAAGUCAAACCUCAGUCAAAUUCAAUCUAAAAUUUAUGUUCAAUUUCAACCAUUCCUCAAGGAAUCUUAUUUCUUUAGUUAACCAUUAAACUACAAUUAAGUUCAAGAUCUUCUGUAAAAUCUUAUUCCAAUUAUUCAAGUAUUUCCAUACUUCUAAGUAUCUCUUUUGAAUUGUGUGAUAUCUCUUAGGAGAUCUACGGAAACAUUGAUUAGUGUUCAGUUAGGUGCAUAGCUUAUUCAAGCGAUCCAAGAAACGAGCUUAAAACUUGUAGUGAAAGCAAGUUGUGCAGUCUUCAUCAAAUUACUACCGUAACAAACCUUUCAAGCAAUACUUAGAAUCCUCAUUGUUUCUAAAUUUAACGAAUAAGCUAUUAUAUUCUUUGAACUUCAAUAUUUUUUUUCAAAUGGUCAAUAGCUCGAUAUCACAUUUUUGGAUUCAGUUACUUCAGUGGAGAUCAUCAACAAACGCUUCCACCUCGAAUUUGUUUAUGACCGUAAAUUUGAUUUGAAAUACAUUCCGUCUGGUCUCAAUGAAUGCACCAUUGAAUCAAGCAGAUUCAAUAAUGAAUUCAAUUAUGUAGCUUCAGAAAAUUAUAAGAAGGGGUUUGCAAAGGAACUUUAUUUUCCAAAGAAUCGGAAAAUGAGUGCGGACGAAAUUUUGAUUUGUUGGAUAAAAAUUUAAAGGGAUUGACUCUACGUAUAACUCAGAUUGUCAGAGACACACUUUUGUUGGGACCUUAUCGUAUGAUAUUGUGCGAACCUAGUGAAAAAAAGGCGUCUGUUACACGUUGGCAAAGGAUUGAAAGUGUAAAUUAUCCUUGCGGUACUUUGUAUUUGGAUCAGAAUUUCCAAGGUACCAGCUGGACUAGGUAUAUUAAAGUACGUGAUAGUAACAACCGUCCUCUUUUGGAACGAACACGGCCUGGACAAAAUCAUAACCUUAUAAGCCUGACUUUAAGCAUACAACAAAGUGAAUCUUUAGAAAAAGCAAACGUUUCAAUGUUGACAAAAAGUAUUCACAACAGAUUUAAUGAAUCAAUCACUAAAUAUAAUGAAUCGAAAGUUGAUAAAGAACAUGGAACAACUCAAGUAAGUGUUUUUUCCUUACCGUUCAAUUAAUCUUGGAUCCAUAUAUGGUAUGAGCAUCAGUUUUAUUCAAUUGCUAAUUCUACCAACAUUGCUAACCUAAUUGAAUAACCUGCGCAGCUAAGUUUUUAAAGAAAUUCGAUAUUCAGGAAUCUUACAUCUGACCGUUGAUAUCGAGCAUGAAUUUUGAAAUUUGCUUUAAGAAGUUUGGUAAUUAUUCAACUAAAAUAUUUAAACUUUAUUUUAAAUGGUUUAUGAGUUACAUAAAUUGUGUUGAUGGUUCUGUAGCUCAAAAUGAUUAACUAAUUAAUAGCAUUACAAAAGAUUAAAAAAUUUGCAGACUCUAGUCUUAGAUGAUCUAGGAAAGCCUGACAAUGUAAGCUGAUUCAAUCUGAUCAUAGCUUUAACUAUAGCUGGAGAGAGCUUUUAAUCUGUAGCUAAAUUCAGCUACAGCUAGCUUUAUUCAAUGCCACUAAAGUAUCAUUUCAAUAAAAAACUUGUCUUGAUUAGUCGUCCGCAAAUUUGGCACCAUGGAUUAGUAACUAUCAGAUUUCGGUGAAUUUGCUAUAGAUAAAUUCAAUAAGUCGAAUAAUUUAAUGGAAGCUUAUUAGCGGUUCAAAUCACUAUAUUAAAAUUCAAUCAAUAUUUAUUUUAGUGAAGUAACUUUUAGAUAAAAAUUGACUCUUCGAUAGUACCAAAAGUUAUUUCAUUUAUGUUCAAAACUAUUGUGAAUUUAAUUUCGUAUUCAGCAUGAAGGGUAGAAAUCUUAGCUUAGUUUAAUCAUUCAAUGAUUUCGAUUUUCAAUUUGAUUCUCUUUAUUCAUAUCUUUCAUUAGAUUUUAUUUCAUUUAAAAUUCAUUUAAAUUCACUUAAAUUGCUCAAACAAUAUUUACUCAUUUCUUGAAAACUUCCUCAAUUGUCAAAACCUGAAAAAAGGUUAUCUUCCAACUCGCAAAUCCGUUCCUAAAUCACCUUUAUUCCUUGUAAAAUUUGACCACAAUCUUGGUUAAAUUCAGGUUAACUUAAAGUUGAAUUUUAAGUGACAAAAAGUAAGAGAUUAAAAAAUCCCUUUCUUUUUCUGGUUAAUUUUCAACUGUUCCUCAACUCAACUUUUAAUCCUCAAAGCAUUGUCAAAGCUAAAGUUAUCUCUCAAGAGAUAUAUGUCUCAACAUCACUAAUGGGUAAAAAGGCUACUAGCCUUAACAAUACUAAAUUAAGAUAAGACAUCUUACAAAACCAGUAAUGAACCCUUAACCAGACAAUAGUCGAAAGACAUUCAAUUUUACUUUCUUCAAUCAUUCCCUCCAAAAUUAUCCUUUGUUUUACAGACGUUAUAAAAACCCAAUUUUUCAUUCUUUAACUUCACUUCAAUUCUAUUGUAAGUCAAACCUCAGUCAAAUUCAAUCUAAAAUUUAUGUUCAAUUUCAACCAUUCCUCAAGGAAUCUUAUUUCUUUAGUUAACCAUUAAACUACAAUUAAGUUCAAGAUCUUCUGUAAAAUCUUAUUCCAAUUAUUCAAGUAUUUCCAUACUUCUAAGUAUCUCUUUUGAAUUGUGUGAUAUCUCUUAGGAGAUCUACGGAAACAUUGAUUAGUGUUCAGUUAGGUGCAUAGCUUAUUCAAGCGAUCCAAGAAACGAGCUUAAAACUUGUAGUGAAAGCAAGUUGUGCAGUC